rnacentral:rRNA from 1 species
GGACCCGCACAAGUAGUGGAGCAUGUGGUUUAAUUCGAUGCAACGCGAAGAACCUUACCAGGGUUUGACAUCCUGCGAAUCUCUUGGAAACAGGAGAGUGCCUUCGGGAACGCAGUGACAGGUGGUGCAUGGCUGUCGUCAGCUCGUGUCGUGAGAUGUUGGUUAAGUCCCGCAACGAGCGCAACCCACGUCUUUAGUUGCCAGCAUUUAGUUGGGCACUCUAGAGAGACUGCCGGUGAUAAACCGGAGGAAGGUGUGGAUGACGUCAAGUCAUCAUGCCCCUUACAUCCUGGGCUACACACGUACUACAAUGGCAUCUACAGUGGGUUAAUCCCCAAAAGAUGUCU